rnacentral:rRNA from 1 species
GGUAGCACAGAGAGCUUGCUCUCGGGUGACNAGUGGCGGACGGGUGAGUAAUUGGGAAACUGCCUGAUGGAGGGGGAUAACUACUGGAAACGGUAGCUUAAUACCGCAUUAUNGUCGCGAAGACCAAAGAGUGGGGACCUUCGGUGCCUCUUGCCAUCAGAUGUGCCCAGAUGGGAUUAGCUAUGUAGGCGGGGUAAGUGGCCCACCUAGGCGACGAUCCCGUAGCUGGUCUGAUGAGGAUGAGCCAGCCAGCAGCUGGAACUGAGACACGGUCCAGACUCAUACGGGAGGCAGCAGUGGGGAAUAUUGCACAAUGGGCGCAAGCCUGAUGCAGCCAUGCCGCGUGUGUGAAGAAGGCCUUCGGGUUGUAAAGCACUUUCAGCGGGGAGGAAGGCAGUCCGGUUAAUAACCGUGCUGAUUGACGUUACCCGCAGAAGAAGCACCGGCUAACUCCGUGCCAGCAGCCGCGGUAACUACGGAGGGUGCAAGCGUUAAUCGGAAUUACUGGGCGUAAAGCGCACGCAGGCGGUCUGUCAAGUCGGAUGUGAAAUCCCCGGGCUCAACCUGGGAACUGCAUUCGAAACUGGCAGGCUGGAUGUCUCGUACAG